rnacentral:snRNA from 1 species
UGUGAGGGCGAUCUGGUUGCGACAUCUGUCACCCCAUUGAUCGCCAGGGUUGAUUCGGCUGAUCUGGCUGGCUAGGCUGGUGUCCCCUUCCUCCCUCACCGCUCCAUGUGCGUCCCUCCCGAAGCUGCGUGCUCGGUCGAAGAGGACGACCAUCCCCGAUAGAGGAGGACCGGUCUUCGGUCAAGGGUAUACGAGUAGCUGCGCUCCCCUGCUAGAACCUCCAAACAAGAGGACUUUUAAACAAAUUCAUAUUAAAGAUUUUUUUCAUUUAU